CAUCCCUCCUCAAAUCCCUCCGCCCCUCCGCAUCUGCUACACGCCGCCGCCCCCCUCCUUCCUAGCUGCUUGCAAGGGGCCGAGGCAAGGCCCCCCGCGGCCGGCAUGCUGCCAUCGCGGGCGGUGGGAGGCCCUCCGCGGCCUCCGUGCGGCGCUCGCCGUAGGGGCAAGGCACGCCGCGGCCGGCGUGCCGCCGGGGUCCGGAUAUACCCUCUCCCUCGCCGGAUCUAAGACUCUCUUGGCUGGAUCUGCCUCGACGCCGGGUUCCUCUGUCUGGGCGACAUGGAGCGGCCCUCUCCUUUCCGGCGGCGCUGGCGCGGCCUCCUGCAUCGCCGCUCGCUCGCGAGGAGGUGCUGGACGGACGCGCAGCAGGCCGGCGUAGCUUUUGUGCCAUGCUGGCAUGAGGGCCGGCGGCGGCGCAGCUUGAUACGCUGCGCUGCGACAGUCGGCGCCCACCCACCGGUUCCUGUGCAGAUUCACUAAUACAUGCUUCGUAACCAGAUAAUAUGAGAAUAUAUAUUACCAGAAUAAUAGGUAUUACAACUUCAUAGGGUGUCAUGCUUCCUGAUAUCCAUGUUUCAUAUGUCAUGUUUGUCAAACAAUACUAACAUAUGGUGAAUUUUUAUUUGUAGAGAGAGGGAGAGGGGAUUUCAUGUUGGCAGUAACUGUUAAUAUGCUGAUGCAGAUCCUUUUUAAGUCUGCCAUGAGUUAACUUUGUCUUGGUACAAUUUUGGUGCUUCAGAUUUGUAACUUGUUACUUGUUAUCACAAUCUACUUGGUUUUGUUUGUUUUGAGUUAAGGUCAAGAACAUGGGUGGCGUAUCAAUGGUCUAAUCUUGUGUGAAUCGGGUCCUCAACUGUAUGUUGCUGCUGCUGCUCUACGGGCGUCGUGCACAUGGAGGCGCUGGCCGGUUGGUCGUGGCACCGGUGCCCAGCGCCUGCCCGUGGUGCCUCUCAGUAGACAAUUAAUUUGUUUUAUACAGGAAAUCGAAUUAAUAAGCAGCAAGAUUUUUAUUUCUGAAGAAACUUCGCUAGCGCACUUGUCCAUAGAGUAUAGUGUUUUUGUGUGUUGCAAGCCUGCAACUGCUAAUAUUGGUUGUUUCUCUGUUGUUGAAGAGGAGAGGAAGCUUGCACUAGACAGACAUGUAAAGAGCUUACAUCUGAAGAGGAGAGGAAGCUUGCACUGGCAAGAUCAUGAUGACCUGCUUGUUGACAACAUCUACAUGGCUAAUGGAGGUGAUGCCAUUCCUCGGCCUGAUCCGCACAGCCAAAUGUCAAUAUUUAGUAUUGUUUUUACUGCAUAUCUAUUUUGUUUAAUUGAACCUGCUGUACAGUCAAUGCUUUAGCAAAUGAUUUACCACAGCAUGUAAAUUUUGAGGUGCUUCUCAAUGUAAAUACGAGAUAUUGUAUUUGAUUUGAUGCUGUGGGAAAUGGUCUUACAAUUUUGGUAUGUAUUCUGGGUUGUAAUGACUAUUCUAAUAAAAGGGUUGAAAAUCAGGUCUAAUUUUGUGGCC